UUCUUUGGAGAGUUUGAUCCUGGCUCAGGACGAACGCUGGCGGCGUGCCUAAUACAUGCAAGUCGAGCGGACCGGGCGGGAGCUUGCUUCCGCCUGGUUAGCGGCGGACGGGUGAGUAACACGUGGGUAACCUGCCCGUAAGACCGGGAUAACUCCGGGAAACUGGGGCUAAUACCGGAUAACACCGAAGACCGCAUGGUCUUCGGUUGAAAGGCGGCUUCGGCUGCCACUUACGGAUGGGCCCGCGGCGCAUUAGCUAGUUGGUGAGGUAACGGCUCACCAAGGCG
rnacentral:rRNA from 1 species